rnacentral:rRNA from 1 species
UACAGAGGGUGCAAGCGUUAAUCGGAAUUACUGGGCGUAAAGCGUGCGUAGACGGUCAUGUAAGUCGGGUGUGAAAGCCCCGGGCUCAACCUGGGAAUUGCAUUCGAGACUGCAUGGCUAGGGUGCGGAAGAGGGAAGCGGAAUUUCCGGUGUAGCGGUGGAAUGCGCAGAUAUCAGGAGGAACACCGAUGGCGAAGGCAGAUCUCUGGGCCGUAACUGACGCUGAGGAGCGAAAGCGUGGGGAGCGAACAGG